rnacentral:rRNA from 1 species
GACAGAGGGUGCGAGCGUUAAUCGGAAUCACUGGGCGUAAAGAGUUCGUAGGCGGUUAGUUAAGUUGGAUGUGAAAUCCCCGGGCUUAACCUGGGAGGGUCAUUCAAAACUGGCUAACUAGAGUGGGGUAGAGGAAAGUGGAAUUUCCGGUGUAGCGGUGAAAUGCACAGAUAUCGGAAGGAACACCAGUGGCGAAGGCGACUUUCUGGACCCUUACUGACGCUGAGGAACGAAAGCGUGGGGAGCAAACAGG